rnacentral:rRNA from 1 species
GGGAGGACCACCUCCCAAGGCUAAAUACUACCUGAUGACCGAUAGUGAAGCAGUACCGUGAGGGAAAGGUGAAAAGAACCCCGGGAGGGGAGUGAAAUAGAACCUGAAACCGUGUGCCUACAACCGCUCAGAGCCCCUUAUGAGGGUGAUGAGGUGCUUUUUGUAGAACGAGCCAACGAGUUACGGUAUGUAGCAAGGUUAAGUACUUAAGGUACGGAGCCGAAGGGAAACCGAGUCUGAAUAGGGCGACUAGUUGCAUGCCGUAGACCCGAAACCGGGUGACCUAUCCAUGGCCAGGUUGAAGCGAGGGUAAAACCUCGUGGAGGACCGAACCACGUUGCUGUUGAAAAAGCAUGGGAUGAGCUGUGGAUAGCGGAGAAAUUCCAAUCGAACCCGGAGAUAGCUGGUUCUCUCCGAAAUAGCUUUAGGGCUAGCGUCGAGUAUGAGUAGUGGAGGUAGAGCACUGAAUGGGCUAGGGGGCAUAGCGCUUACCGAACCUUAUCAAACUCCGAAUGCCACAUACUUUGAGCUCGGCAGUCAGACUACGAAUGAUAAGAUCCGUGGUCAAAAGGGAAACAGCCCAGAUCGUCAGCUAAGGUCCCAAAGUGUAAGUUAAGUGGGAAAGGAUGUGAGAUUUCUAAGACAACUAGGAUGUUGGCUUAGAAGC